rnacentral:tRNA from 6 species
UCCUCUAUAGCUCAGUCGGUAGAGCGUUUGACUGUUAAUCAAAAUGUCCCUGGUUCGAGCCCAGGUGGAGGAG